GACGAACGCUGGCGGCGCGCUUAAUACAUGCAAGUCGAGCGAGUACCUGGGCUUCGGCCCAGGGGAAAGCGGCGAACGGGUGAGUAACACGUGGGUAAUCUGCCCUCGGCACCGGGAUAGCCCGGGGAAACCCGGAUUAAUACCGGAUAGCCUCUCGAGCCUUCGCGCCCGCGAGAAAAGGUAGCUUCGGCCUCCAGCCGAGGAGGAGCCCGCGGCGGAUUAGCUUGUUGGCGGGGUAACGGCCCACCAAGGCGACGGUCCGUAGCUGGCCUGAGAGGACGAUCAGCCACACUGGGAGUGAGACAAGGCCCAGACUCCUACGGGAGGCAGCAGUAGGGAAUCUUGCGCAAUGGGCGAAAGCCGGACGCGGCGACGCGGCGUGCGGGAAGAAGGGCUUCGGGUUGUAAACCGCUUUCAGGAGGGAAGAAGCCACUCGGGUUAAUAGCCCAGAGGGUGACGGUACCUCCAGAAGAAGCCCCGGCUAACUACGUGCCAGCCGCCGCGGUAA
rnacentral:rRNA from 1 species